CCUACGGGGGGCUGCAGUAGGGAAUAUUGCUCAAUGGGGGAAACCCUGAAGCAGCAACGCCGCGUGGAGGAUGAAGGUUUUCGGAUUGUAAACUCCUUUUGUUAGAGAAGAUAAUGACGGUAUCUAACGAAUAAGCACCGGCUAACUCCGUGCCAGCAGCCGCGGUAAUACGGAGGGUGCAAGCGUUACUCGGAAUCACUGGGCGGAAAGAGCGCGUAGGGGGGAUAGCAAGUCAGAUGUGAAAUCCUAUGGCUUAACCAUAGAACUGCAUUUGAAACUGUUAUUCUAGAGUAUGGGAGAGGUAGGUGGAAUUCUUGGUGUAGGGGUAAAAUCCGUAGAGAUCAAGAGGAAUACUCAUUGCGAAGGCGACCUGCUAGAACAUAACUGACGCUGAUGCGCGAAAGCGUGGGGAGCAAACAGGAUUAGAUACCCUUGUAGUC
rnacentral:rRNA from 1 species